GCCUGCGGCGGAGUCCGGGACGUGGAGACCCGGGGUCCCGGCAGCUGGGCGGCCCGCGGGCCCAGGGUGGGGAUGCACCGCCGCGGGGUGGGAGCUGGCGCCAUCGCCAAGAAGAAACUUGCAGAGGCCAAGUAUAAGGAGCGAGGGACGGUCUUGGCUGAGGACCAGCUAGCUCAGAUGUCAAAGCAGUUGGACAUGUUCAAGACCAACCUGGAGGAAUUUGCCAGCAAACACAAGCAGGAGAUCCGGAAGAAUCCUGAGUUCCGUGUGCAGUUCCAGGACAUGUGUGCAACCAUUGGCGUGGAUCCGCUGGCCUCUGGAAAAGGAUUUUGGUCUGAGAUGCUGGGCGUGGGGGACUUCUAUUACGAACUAGGUGUCCAAAUUAUCGAAGUGUGCCUGGCGCUGAAGCAUCGGAAUGGAGGUGAGGGUGGCUAGGUCCUGUGAA
rnacentral:sRNA from 1 species